rnacentral:rRNA from 1 species
GGGAGUGAAAUAGAACUGAAACCGUAUGCUUACAAGCCGUUGGAGCAAUUUAUUGUGACAGCGUGCCUAUUGAAGAAUGAGCCGGCGAGUUAAUUUAUGUAGCAAGGUUAAGAUAUUAAGUAUUGGAGCCGAAGCGAAAGCGAGUCUGAAUAGGGCGUUUAGUUGCAUGGAUUAGACCCGAAACCGUGUGAGCUACCCAUGACCAGGGUGAAGCGAAAUUAACGUUUCGUGAAGGCCCGAACCCUUGUACGCUGCAAAGUGCUGGGAUGAGUUGUGGGUAGAGGAGAAAUUCCAAACGAACACGGAGAUAGCUGGUUCUCCCCGAAAUGUAUUUAGGUACAGCCUUAGGUAUUAACUGAUGGAGGUAGAGCACUGGAUGAGCUAGCGGGCGCAAGUUUAGCAAACUCAACCAAACUAAGAAUGCCAUCAGCCGAAUCCUAGGAGUGAGACAGUGACGGAUAAGCGCCAUUGUCGAAAGGGAAACAGCCCAGAUCGCAAGCUAAGGUCCCAAAGUUAUAGUUAAGUGGUAAAGGAGGUUGGAUCGCCCAGACAGCUAGUAGGUUGGCUUAGAAGCAGCCAUCCUUUAAAGAGUGCGUAAUAGCUCACUAGUCGAGGGGUUCUGCGCCGAAAAUUAUCGGGGCUAAACUAUACACCGAAGCUGCGGGAUUCUUUAUGAAUCGGUAGGGGAGCGUUCUCAAUGCACUGAAUCUGAAUUGUGAAAUUUGGUGGAGCGUUGAGAAGUGAGAAUGUCGGCAUGAGUAGCGACAAUCUUUGUGAGAAUCAAAGACACCGGAAGUCCGAGGUUUCCUACGCAACGUUGAUCGGCGUAGGGUUAGUCGGUCCUAAGGAGAAGCCGAAAGGUGAAUUCGAUGGACAGCUGGUCAAAAUUCCAGCACCGUAAUUAUCCUGUUAUGCAACGAAGGGACGCGAUAAGGACUGUUAAGCAUGCCUAUGGACAUGGUGUGUGGGGCCUUGUAGGGAAGUGAUUGUGGUUAAAAGAACAGUUACGUUAUUAACUGAGAAGGUUUCAGACCUUAAGGCUUCGGCCUUAGGGAAUUUAACACGAACUAUGUCGCCAAGAAAAGCUUCGUUGAUAGGGAUAUUAUGACCGUACCGAAAACCGACACAGGUGGACAGGGGUAAAAGCCCCAAGGUGAACGAGAAAACCAUCCUCAAGGAACUCGGCAAAUUAACCCCGUAACUUCGGAAUAAGGGGAGCCUAAAAUAUAUAGACUUCGCGUUGAAAGUAUUUUAGGCCGCAGAGAAUUGGUCUGAGCGACUGUUUAUCAAAAACACAGGUCCGUGCUAAAGCGAAAGCUGAUGUAUACGGGCUGACGCCUGCCCAGUGCCGGUAGGUUAAAGUGAAGAGUGAGAGCUUUGAUCUGAAGCCCCGGUGAACGGCGGCCGUAACUAUAACGGUCCUAAGGUAGCGAAAUCCCUUGUCGGGUAAGUUCCGACCUGCACGAAAGGCGUAACGACUUGGACACUGUCUCGAGGGUGGACUCGGUGAAAUUGCAUGACCCGUAAAGAUGCGGGUUACGCGCAGCAGGACAAAAAGACCCCGU